rnacentral:rRNA from 1 species
AUUGAACGCUGGCGGCAUGCUUUACACAUGCAAGUCGGACGGCAGCACAGAGAAGCUUGCUUCUUGGGUGGCGAGUGGCGAACGGGUGAGUAACAUAUCGGAACGUACCGAGCAGUGGGGGAUAACUAAUCGAAAGAUUAGCUAAUACCGCAUAUCUUCUGAGGAAGAAAGCAGGGGACCAUUUGGCCUUGCGCUGUUUGAGCGGCCGAUAUCUGAUUAGCUAGUUGGUGGGGUAAAGGCCUACCAAGGCGACGAUCAGUAGCGGGUCUGAGAGGAUGAUCCGCCACACUGGGACUGAGACACGGCCCAGACUCCUACGGGAGGCAGCAGUGGGGAAUUUUGGACAAUGGGCGCAAGCCUGAUCCAGCCAUGCCGCGUGUCUGAAGAAGGCCUUCGGGUUGUAAAGGACUUUUGUCAGGGAAGAAAAGGGCGGGGUUAAUACCCCUGUCUGAUGACGGUACCUGAAGAAUAAGCACGGCU